AUGUCCGCCGGCACCGCCUCCUUCUCCUCCUCGUCGCCGGCCAGCCUCGGGUGCACCGCCGCGUCCAGACCCUACGACGCGACGCAGGCCUACGCGGUGUCCAAGCUCGCCAACGUGCUGCACACCAAGGAGCUCGCCGCCCGCCUCCAGGAGAUGGGCGCGGACGUGACGGCGAACUGCGUGCACCCCGGCAUCGUGAGGACGCGCCUCAACCGUGACUGA
rnacentral:rRNA from 1 species